rnacentral:lncRNA from 1 species
GCUGGGUUGCAAAAUCAUUACAUAGCUACUCGGCAUAUAUGUCAUAUAUACACGCAAAUAAGUUGAAAAUUUAACAAAAUUCAAAUAUUGAGCACCAGAGUAAUUUCAUAAACACACUGCAACAUAUAUUAUAUAUUCUUUACAAUGAUACAACAUGCUAUCAGUAAAACUUAAUUAAAAGGAAAAAUCACUUGAAAAGUCAAAGAAGUGACAAAAAGGCUUCUUGUUCAUGUGAUCUUCCUAGGCCGCCCGCCCACCUCUCAACUCCCAAACGUAUUGCAAUAUUGACAUACAAUUUGAAAGGUAUAAUUACGACAAGGGUAAAUUAGUUAACAUUUUUGUGUAAGGUAAAUUAAUUAACAUAUAAAAAGGAAAGCGACCAGAAAACAAAACAAUACCUUGUCUAAUUCUAGGAUUAAAGAUGAUUAAAUAUUUCCUAUUCUGUGGUUACAGAAAAGAGAAUUUUGCUUGUUCAAUACGUAAUUGAAUGAUAAACCUGUCAUCCGCCACCAAUUUUCAGAGUCAGAAUUAUUACAAGUAGGAAAUAACUGGUUGAGCGAAGACACGAACCUAAUCCAGUCGACUAUAUUGACUUUCCUUCGUUCUAUAUAUUAUCGUAAGCAUGGCUAUAAUUAAUGAUUCAUUCUGUUGUAAAACCUUUUUUGUUUGCUUAUAUAUAUUUUUUUGAAACACUUUUUUUUUUUUUUUUUGAAACACUUUUGCUUAUAUAUAUCAAACAACACUUUGCUAAGUAUACCGCAAAAAAACAUCAUCACAAGUUUUCUUAUUUGCUACUUUUAUUUACCGAAUGACUUAUUAAACUCUGUAUACGUGACUUAUUAAACUCUGUAUACGUGAUAUGAAAGUUGGAAUUCUCUAAGAGCAUGAUUAAUAGAGAUUUUUAAGGAAAAUAUAAAAAAGUGUCUUAACUUUUAACUAAAAAAGGUAAAAACCGGUUCUUAAUAAAAUAUUUAAAAUGUGAUUCUUAGCUUUUUUUAGUUAAAAAUUAAGAGACGGUUUCUUAUAUUUCGAUAAAAAUUUCACCUCAAGAACUUUCAAUUAAUCAUGGUCUUAGUGCAUUGUAGUCCGAUUUAUAAAAAAGAUAUUUACAAAAAGCCCUAACCGAACCCCAUCAACGUUACCUAUAUUUCUAUAUGCUCAACACAGCCCAUUUACUCUUUUAAGGUUUGAAAUGCCUAGUUUUAGAUUUUUCGUCUAAACGUUAACUUUUAUAGGUACACGCCAAAAAGCCCAUGGACGUCGCAGCCCACACUACAAAAGAGUGUUGAGCAGGGGACGAGUCAUGUGGCUUCAAUGUUCAAUCCCAAGUAAUGGAGUUUAUGUCCCUUGGACAAAGAAAUGCUAUAUAAUCUACAAAAGUAGAUUCCAUGUUGAAGCGAUAAGAAUCAUAUGAAUGUCUUACUACAAAAUAAGGUAAAGUUUCUUACUGUUAGCUACUAUACACCAAAAGUGCAAUCAGUUUUACUUUAGUGAUUUAAAUCGAUUGACUACGCUGGAACAUUUAAAAUCAGUUUGAAUUGAUUAUAAUAGUGGAUCAUAAAAUUACUAUAUUUGUUAACGUAACUGCGCUUCUGUUAUACCUCAAUGAGAGAGCAAAACGAAAAGAGAACGAUAAAUUAUAUAAAAAAUAAAUUUCACUUUUAAUAUAAUAGUUCAAUUUUCAAAGAUAUGAACUCUGUCCCCAAGUAAUAUGUGCAUUAUUUGCCAUACCAAACUUUUCCACGGCACAUGAAACAGUGAGAUUCCUCUGAAUAAUAGUACUAUACAUAAUAGUUUUUUAAUCAAACAACUAAUGAAUAAGGUUAGACCAAAAAAACUAAUGAAUUAGGAAGAGACAUUGGGAAAAAGUUUGCUUGCAUGUAUAUACAUCAUCUAAAGAACUUUACCACUAUCAUCUAAUUAUCUUUAUCAAUAAUGUCUUGUAACUAAUGAUUGUUAAUUAUAUACAUACCACUAGGUUUACCACUUACCAAAAUAAGAAAUUCAGUGCAAAGAUAAUGUGCUGGGUUGCAAAACCAUUACAUACCUACUCGGCAUAUAUGUCAUAUAUACACGCAAAUAAGUUGAAAAUUUAACAAAAUUCAAAUAUUGAGCACCAGAUUAAUUUCAUAAACAUACUGCAAUAUAUAUUAUAUAUAUUAUAUAUAUUCUUUACAAUGAUACAACAUGCUAUCAGUAAAACUUAAUUAAAAGGAAAAAUCACUUGAAAAGUCAAAGAAGUGACAAAAAGGCUUCUUGUUCAUGUGAUCUUCCUAGGCCGCCCGCCCACCUCUCAACUCCCAAACGUAUUGCAAUAUUGACAUAUAAUAGCUUCAGUUAUAUUACAGUCAACUUGAAAGGUAUAAUUACGACAAGGGUAAAUUAGUUAUCAUUUUUGUGUAAGGUAAAUUAAUUAACAUAUAAAAAUAAUUUUGUAAAUAAUAAAACAUAUAUAGUAAAGUAUGUAUUCUGGACCGUCAGAUCAACUGAAACUCCAAAGUGGAAUAUCAGCAUCUUCGUAGAAAUACCCAUCGACCAUAUUCGUGGUCGAGUUCAGUGGAGGAGAGUAAUUAAACGGAGCUCCAUCAUCGAAGAAGAACAUCCCAUUAUGAUCAUUGUCAUACCACG